AGAAAACUAAAGACACCGCGCCAUUUGGUUUUCGUAUUUAUGGAGCUUUCCGGAAUGCUGUCCUCCAUUUUCACCUCCGGGUCCUACUCAGCUGCUAGUUAGAGAGCAGUUUCUGUUGUCUAAAUCUGCGUGUGAUUUAGCACACAUUUUUUGGCACAUCGCUGGCUGCAUUUUGACGCUAAAGGAGAAUGAAGUUGCAAAAAAAUCUGCAAUCACGUUUCUGCGAAAACUCCAACCAGAUGACUCCUUCUGUCCUCUGCUUCUUACAGACUCAGCAAAGUCUCAGGGGUGGAGGGAAGCAGGGCAGGAGGCACGUGCUGUUCGCUGUGACCUGGAGUGGCUUGCUGGCUGUGCUUCUUACUGUGGAGAAGGGUACC